rnacentral:lncRNA from 1 species
CCUUACAGUAUAUUCAAGGUAUGGAAAGAUAGGAAAUAACAUGCAUAGCUCUAAACUUACUACAAGAGUAUCAUUGGAAGUAGAAGAAGACAAAACAUCAAAACACAAAAUAACUUCAUAUCCAAUCAAGUUUCUACUCGAAAAUGCCUAUGUACAACCAUUUGCUAUCCAUAGCUUAUAGAAAUACCUGGAAAAAAGAAAAGAGACAAUGAAGUGUGAGAUCAAUAACCAAGCAGCAGAAACCAGCUUUAAAUCCAGCAAUGGAACUAUAGAAACCACAGUAAAAUCCGAACCAGACUCUAUAAUACCCAGAAUUCGAUCCAUUUUUAACCUAGAAUGCAAAUCGUGAACUUUCAGUGAUUUGAACCAUAUUAUUAGGAUCGGAUGAAUAAGAAUUCAAGCAGAAUUUUUAGUAAUUUUUCUGAAAUGCAAGGAAUUUAAGGUUGUUUCAUAAUUUUUUAAAGAAGAGGCAGCCAUUUCAGUUUUGGAUGAUUUCUAUCUCUUCAAAUCUGACUUGAAU